rnacentral:lncRNA from 1 species
UGAACAGAUUUCAGGGUUAAGACUUCAACAUAACUUUUGGAGGGCCACAAUUCAACCAGUAAUAAGUCCUGUGAGGUUUCUGGGUUAUCUUAGGCAAUAAAAAGUUCAAUGCCAUCUUCAAAUUUUAAAACUCAGUUUUUAUUUUAAAAACAAACAAACAAACAAAAAAACAGAAUGUCCAGUCCAGGUCAAAGGUAAAGCCUGUAGACUUCCUGUCCACUAUAGAAAAGUAUGAAAUGGGUUUCUUUUCUCUUUCUUGCUAGGCUACUCUACCACUUGCAAGCUGCUGUUUCUGACCUUCUGGAGUUUG